rnacentral:rRNA from 1 species
AUGAGAGACGGCGACGCCAGGCCGCCGGAGGAGACGGAAAAUCUGACGGGGGACUGGCAUCUGAGCGCGCGGCGGCGGGAGAGGUGGGGGUGUGCCGGUGUGGAGAAUGGGGAGUCUUAUCAGGUUUUCGCUUUUGGAGAGGCGGCGCACCAUGAUGAACCUAUCGCGGACGCUGACGGCGAUAAGCCUGCACGCACGCACGCCUUCAGCCUAGAUGAGCCCAAAGUUCGUCAUGAAGAACUUGUCCACUCCCAGUUCCCCAACUUCAUCGGUGAGGGCGGCUUCCACCCCGUCUUCAAGGCUGCAGCCCACACGCAGGUCUCGGCCUGCACAAGGUGGAGAGCAGCGACACCGCGGACAAUGUCAAGGCCAAGAUCCAGGACAAGGAAGGAAUCCCACCAGCUGGACGACGGUCACACGCUGGCCGACUACAACGUGCAGAAGGAGUCGACGAUGCACCUUGUGCUCCGCCUCCACGGCGGCACCACCAUCAAGGUCAAGACGCUCACCUGCAAGGAGAUCGAGAUGGACGUCGAGCCCGCGGACACAGUCAACGGGGUCAAGGAGCACGUCGAGGAGAAGGAGGGCAUCCCGCCCGUCUAG